UGCAGUCGUACGCUGGAUAGACGCAGUGAGCUUGCUCUUCUUGGAUGAGUUGCGAACGGGUGAGUAACGCGUAGGUAACCUGCCUUGUAGCGGGGGAUAACUAUUGGAAACGAUAGCUAAUACCGCAUAACAAUGGAUGACACAUGUCAUUUAUUUGAAAGGGGCAAUUGCUCCACUACAAGAUGGACCUGCGUUGUAUUAGCUAGUAGGUGAGGUAAUGGCUCACCUAGGCGACGAUACAUAGCCGACCUGAGAGGGUGAUCGGCCACACUGGGACUGAGACACGGCCCAGACUCCUACGGGAGGCAGCAGUAGGGAAUCUUCGGCAAUGGGGGCAACCCUGACCGAGCAACGCCGCGUGAGUGAAGAAGGUUUUCGGAUCGUAAAGCUCUGUUGUAAGUCAAGAACGGGUGUGAGAGUGGAAAGUUCACACUGUGACGGUAGCUUACCAGAAAGGGACGGCUAACUACGUGCCAGCAGCCGCGGUAAUACGUAGGUCCCGAGCGUUGUCCGGAUUUAUUGGGCGUAAAGCGAGCGCAGGCGGUUUGAUAAGUCUGAAGUUAAAGGCUGUGGCUCAACCAUAGUUCGCUUUGGAAACUGUCAAACUUGAGUGCAGAAGGGGAGAGUGGAAUUUCCAUGUGUAGCGGUGAAAUGCGUAGAUAUAUGGAGGAACACCGGUGGCGAAAGCGGCUCUCUGGUCUGUAACUGACGCUGAGGCUCGAAAGCGUGGGGAGCGAACAGGAUUAGAUACCCUGGUAGUCCACGCCGUAAACGAUGAGUGCUAGGUGUUGGAUCCUUUCCGGGAUUCAGUGCCGCAGCUAACGCAUUAAGCACUCCGCCUGGGGAGUACGACCGCAAGGUUGAAACUCAAAGGAAUUGACGGGGGCCCGCACAAGCGGUGGAGCAUGUGGUUUAAUUCGAAGCAACGCGAAGAACCUUACCAGGUCUUGACAUCCCGAUGCUAUUUCUAGAGAUAGAAAGUUACUUCGGUACAUCGGUGACAGGUGGUGCAUGGUUGUCGUCAGCUCGUGUCGUGAGAUGUUGGGUUAAGUCCCGCAACGAGCGCAACCCCUAUUGUUAGUUGCCAUCAUUCAGUUGGGCACUCUAGCGAGACUGCCGGUAAUAAACCGGAGGAAGGUGGGGAUGACGUCAAAUCAUCAUGCCCCUUAUGACCUGGGCUACACACGUGCUACAAUGGUUGGUACAACGAGUUGCGAGUCGGUGACGGCGAGCUAAUCUCUUAAAGCCAAUCUCAGUUCGGAUUGUAGGCUGCAACUCGCCUACAUGAAGUCGGAAUCGCUAGUAAUCGCGGAUCAGCACGCCGCGGUGAAUACGUUCCCGGGCCUUGUACACACCGCC
rnacentral:rRNA from 1 species